CCUGGAUCCAGAGGGUGGCAUGUCCCGUUAUCUCUGCAGACCUCAGCCACACUGUACUUGGUCUCCAUGUUGGACAGGAGAGUGUUGUACUGAAAAGCCACUGAAUGAUGGGGUCAAAGUAUUUCAUCAGCGAGCUUGCAUCCAUCUUGUUGGUGCCAAUAGCCUCCUGGAGCACAACAGGCCAAGGUUUGGAAGAGCCAGCCUGGAGAACUUUCCUGGAGAAGUGGUGUGGCUGAUGCUACCUAAUGUAUGGCGUGUUUCCAGGGAUGUGGUAUUUUGCGCCAGGAUCAAAGUGUUCCUCUGUACGUCCGCCCACCUGAGGUACCACCACUCGGAGUUGUACCGCUCUGGAGGAGUGCGUCCACUGAACACACCCCACCUCCACUGGUCGAUGAGGUAGCCAAAGGGAAGGAAGGCGAUCUUCUCCAGAGCCAUCUUCAACAGAGACCACAGAUUCCAGCAGUUUAAUGGUAUGCAGAUGUUUGGGUGUGGAAACGGACAGAGACAAAACAUCGCCAAUAGCCUCGUGGAAGCCGGGGUUGGCUCCACGACGGUAGCCCACAGGCUUGUCCUUGUACUGCAGCUGCAUUAAUAGAUUUUACCUGAAGUCCUUGCGGUUGUAAAAGUCCCAGGCAGACGCAUGGCACACCACCUCUCGGCCUUCGGGCUUCUCCAGCAUCGACUCAUCCCAGAACUCCUGAGGCAUCGGCUCUAAACCUAGAGAGGGGCAGAUUGGCCGUUCCCAGUGUCAUGAUCUUUUCCAUCAGCUUCUUGUGUUUGGGGUCGGGGAGAGAAUCGAGAAGCUCCCGAGUGAAGACCUGCUUGGCCUUUAAACCCCAGGCUUCAGAGAACGCCUGCUCUUCAAGGGAUGCUUGUAUCUAAAGCUGCACCAAAACGUCUUCCUUCUGGGAUUGAUAAAGUGUUCAUCCAUCUAUUGGGGCCAAGGACGGAGCAGCAAAAUAACCCUCGCCCAAGAAUCAUAUUUUAACAAACUGCCUUUGUCACUCUCUCUGGAAUGUCAUGGACAUAUUCGCCUUUUCAGUAUACAAUGACAGUGCUGCAAGAAUGGAUGGAGUCAAGGCUGCCAUACAACACCGCAUGGAUUAUAUAUGUGCUGCACAUUGAUUUGCUCCUAUUCAACAUGAUGAACUACUGUUGUAUGCUGUGUACUGCAUAUAUACUGCACCUUUGUAUUUUAACCCAAGACAUAAAAAUGGUGUUUUAUUGUGUUGCAACCCCCUCACUACAUGUCAUGUUAAAUUGAAGCAAGCUGAAUUAGUCUCACUUCAAUAUAUAUAUAUAUAUAUAUAUAUAUAUAUAUAUAUCUGCACACACCCAAAUGUUGAUGUAACCGGAGCAAUGUAUCAGUUUGUCAUCACACAUCCUGCUAAAAGUGGUAAAACAGUAGCUUCAUUCCACUAAUGUUUUCAUUGAAGCCUUUCUUGUCUUUCUGUCCCCAGCCCUCGCUGAGAUAAGAGGCUGCAGGAGGGAAAACUGGUGACAGUGAGCUAAAGUAUUAACUCUGACCUUUGUGCACUUCCUCUCAAUCUCUGUCUUUUUCCUAAUCGUUUUUUUCCCUACAACCACCCAUCCAAUCAGACAAUCACGUCGUCAGCAAAUAAUAAAGAUAAGGCUGAAAUGCCUUUCAGCUGAAUUUCUUUCACUCGAGGUCUUUACGUUACACAGGCUGCGAUGUGUGUUGUGAUGGUUACGGUGUUACAGUAACUUGUCUGUUAACGGUUCUACUUAC